AACGAACGCUGGCGGCAGGCCUAACACAUGCAAGUCGAGCGAGGACUUCGGUUCUAGCGGCGGACGUGUGAGUCACGCGUGGGAAUGUGCCCUUCUCUCCGGAACAGCCCUGGGAAACCGGGUGUAAUACCGUAUACGCCCUAUUGGUGCAAGAUUCAUCGGAGAAGGAUCAGCCCGCGUUGGAUUAGGUAGUUGGUGGUGUAAUGGCCUACCCACCCGACGACCCUUAGCUGGUUUGAGAGGAUGCUCAGCCACACUGGUACUGAGACACGGCCCAGACUCCUACGGGAGGCAGCCGUAGGGACUCUUAGCCAAUGCAGGCAACCCUGAUCUAGCCAUGCCGCGUGAGUGAUGAAGGCCUUAGGGUUGUAAAGCUCUUUCAGCUGGGAAGAUAAUGACGGUACCAGCAGAAGAAGCCCCGGCUAACCCCGUG
rnacentral:rRNA from 1 species